GAUAACGCUGGCGGCGUGCCUAAUACAUGCAAGUUGAACGGAGAGCUUCGGCUCUUAGUAGCGAACGGGUGAGUAACACGUAGGCAACCUGCCCUGUUGACUGGGAUAACUGAUCGAAAGGUUAGCUAAUACCGGAUAAUAACAUGCAUCGCAUGGUGUAUGGAUGAAAGUUGGGAUACAACACAACAGGAUGGGCCUGCGGCGCAUUAGCUAGAUGGUGAGAUAGCAGCCCACCAUGGCAAUGAUGCGUAGCCGAUCUGAGAGGAUGUACGGCCACAUUGGAACUGAGACACGGUCCAGACUCCUACGGGAGGCAGCAGUAGGGAAUUUUCGGCAAUGGGGGAAACCCUGACCGAGCAACGCCGCGUGAACGAUGAAGGCCUUCGGGUCGUAAAGUUUUGUUGUUAGGGAAGAAUGGCGCCUACAGGGAAUGGUAGGCGAGUGACGGUACCUUACGAGGAAGUCACGGCUAACUACGUGCCAGCAGCCGCGGUAAUACGUAGGUGGCAAGCGUUAUCCGGAAUUAUUGGGCGUAAAGGGAGAGUAGGCGGUUUAGAAAGUGCGAGGUAAAAGGCUAGUGCUCAACGCUAGUAUGCUUUGCAAACUAAUAGACUAGAGUACAGGAGAGGUUAACGGAAUUCCAUGUGUAGCGGUGAAAUGCGUAGAUAUAUGGAGGAACAUCGGUGGCGAAGGCGGUUAACUGGACUGGAACUGACGCUGAGGCUCGAAAGCGUGGGGAGCAAAUAGGAUUAGAUACCCUAGUAGUCCACGCCGUAAACGAUGAUUACUAAGUGUUGGGGGAACUCAGUGCUGAAGUUAACACAUUAAGUAAUCCGCCUGGGGAGUACGUUCGCAAGAAUGAAACUCAAAGGAAUUGACGGGUGCCCGCACAAGCGGUGGAGCAUGUGGUUUAAUUCGACGCAACGCGGAGAACCUUACCAGGCCUUGACAUGCCAUUAAAGGCCCUAGAGAUAGGGAGAUAGUUAUAGUGGACACAGGUGGUGCAUGGUUGUCGUCAGCUCGUGUCGUGAGAUGUUGGGUUAAGUCCCGCAACGAGCGCAACCCUUGUCGAUAGUUACCAACAGUAAGAUGGGGACUCUAUUGAGACAGCCUCUGUAAGGAGGAGGAAGGUGGGGAUGACGUCAAAUCAUCAUGCCCUUUAUGGCCUGGGCAACACACGUGCUACAAUGGGGAGGACAAAGAGCUGCCAGCCGGCGACGGUGAGCGAAUCUCAUAAACCUCUUCUCAGUUCGGAUUGGAGUCUGCAACUCGACUCCAUGAAGUUGGAAUCGCUAGUAAUCGCGAAUCAGCUAUGUCGCGGUGAAUACGUUCUCGGGCAUUGUACACACCGCCCGUCAAACCAUGGGAGUCGGAAAUACCUGAAGUCGUUAUCCUAACCGAAAGGAGGGAGGCGCCUAAGGUAGAGCUGAUGACUGGGGUUA
rnacentral:rRNA from 1 species